CACACCACAUCUGUUCUCACUGUGCUGUUGUCUGUUGGAUCAGUCUGUGUUGUGGUUCUACUGGUGUUACUGGUUCUGCUGCUGAGAUGGCGUGCUCAUAGGAAACCUGAAGCUGAAAAUCCUGAAGAAGUCCAAGAAAACCAAGUCACCUACACUGAGGUCAUUUUAUCAAAUCGUCAGCAAAAACCAGUCAAAUCAAAAAGAGAGAAUGAUCCAGCUGCACUCGAUACAACACAAGAUGUCACUGCUGGGCAGAGAAGAAAAGAGCCAGACGUCGUCUACUCUUCAGUGAAGUAGUCCACCAGUCCAACCACUGACGUCCAGCUGCUGGUCUCUUACUG